GGGCUUGUGGCUCAGUGGUCGAGAUUGUGCUUGGUAUGCAGAAUGUUCCAGGUUCAAUCCCUGGUAUUUUCA
rnacentral:tRNA from 1 species